UCUGUAAAAAAUAAAAUACAAUCAGCACCGUCUAGUUACAAGAGGUUAAAAUAGAGAAAUUGGGUUUAAGAAAUAUAUUACUCUGGAAAUCAAACUUACAGUUAGUGCUUAUGUACAAACCUCACAGCACUCGGAAAAAAAAUACAGUGAAAAUCAAAAACAAUGCUGCCUGCAGUUUUGAAAC